GUUUGUGUCUGACUGUGUGUCUGUGUGUGUGUCUGACUGUUUGUGUGAGUAUGUGUGUAUUUAGAAGGUGGGGCGCACCUGAGUUUGGUCCUGCCUAGGGCUGCACAAAACCAGGAUACACCACUGGUCAAAUAUAGGGCUUUUCUCUUUUCCAUGUUUGCACACUGAAAUUUGCCAGAUUGGUUUGCUGGGCCUAUGUUGCUUUUGAAACUGUAUGGCAGCACAGGAAUGAAAAGUAAC